rnacentral:rRNA from 1 species
GACGAACGCUGGCGGCGUGCUUAACACAUGCAAGUCGAACGGAAAGGCCCUGCUUUUUUGUGGUGCUCGAGUGGCGAACGGGUGAGUAACACGUGAGUAACCUGCCCUUUACUUUGGGAUAACUUCAGGAAACUGGGGCUAAUACCGGAUAGGAGCUCCUGCUGCAUGGUGGGGGUUGGAAAGUUUCGGCGGUUGGGGAUUGACUCGCGGCUUAUCAGCUUGUUGGUGGGGUAGUGGCUUACCAAGGCGUUGACGGGUAGUCGGCCUGAGAGGGUGAACGGCCACAUGGGGACUGAGAGACGGCCCAGACGCGUACGGGAGGCAGCAGUGGGGAAUAUUACACAAUGGGCGGAAGACUGAUGCAGCGACGCCGCGUGAGGGAUGAAGGACUUCGGGUUGUAAACCGCUUUAGCCUGUGACGAAGCGGGAGUGACGGUAAUGGGUAAAGAAGCACCGGCUAACUACGUG